UACGAAGGGGGCUAGCGUUGCUCGGAAUCACUGGGCGUAAAGGGUGCGUAGGCGGGUAAGUAAGUCCGUGGUGAAAUCUCUGAGCUUAACUCAGAAACUGCCGUGGAUACUAUUUGCCUUGAAUAUUGUGGAGGUGAGCGGAAUAUGUCAUGUAGCGGUGAAAUGCUUAGAUAUGACAUAGAACACCAAUUGCGAAGGCAGCUCACUACACAAUCAUUGACGCUGAGGCACGAAAGCGUGGGGAUCAAACAGGA
rnacentral:rRNA from 1 species